rnacentral:tRNA from 1 species
GCCCAGGUGGCGGAAUUGGUAGACGCACUAGGUUCAGGUCCUAGCGCCGGCAACGGUGUGGAGGUUCGAGUCCUCUCCUGGGCACCA